rnacentral:rRNA from 1 species
UGGGGAAUAUUGGACAAUGGGCGCAAGCCUGAUCCAGCAAUGCCGCGUGAGUGAUGAAGGCCUUAGGGUUGUAAAGCUCUUUCGCACGCGACGAUGAUGACGGUAGCGUGAGAAGAAGCCCCGGCUAACUUCGUGCCAGCAGCCGCGGUAAUACGAAGGGGGCUAGCGUUGUUCGGAAUUACUGGGCGUAAAGGGCGCGUAGGCGGCCUGUUUAGUCAGAAGUGAAAGCCCCGGGCUCAACCUGGGAAUAGCUUUUGAUACUGGCAGGCUUGAGUUCCGGAGAGGAUGGUGGAAUUCCCAGUGUAGAGGUGAAAUUCGUAGAUAUUGGGAAGAACACCGGUGGCGAAGGCGGCCAUCUGGACGGACACUGACGCUGAGGCGCGAAAGCGUGGGGAGCAAACAGGAUUAGAUACCCUGGUAGUCCACGCCCGUAAACGAUGAAUGCUAGACGUCGGGGUGCAUGCACUUCGGUGUCGCCGCUAACGCAUUAAGCAUUCCGCCUGGGGAGUACGGCCGCAAGGUUAAAAC